AGAGUUUGAUCCUGGCUCAGAGCGAACGCUGGCGGCAGGCCUAACACAUGCAUGUCGAGCGGUCGUAGCAAUACGGCAGCGGCAGACGGGAGAGUAACACGUGGGAACAUGCCCUUCAGUACGGAACAACCAAGGGAAACUUUGGCUAAUACCGUAUACGCCCGUAAGGGGAAAGAUUUAUCGCUGAAGGAUUGGCCCGCGUCUGAUUAGCUAGUUGGUGAGGUAAUGGCUCACCAAGGCGACGAUCAGUAGCUGGUCUGAGAGGAUGAUCAGCCUCACUGGGACUGAGACACGGCCCAGACUCCUACGGGAGGCAGCAGUGGGGAAUAUUGGACGAUGGGCGCAAGGCCUGAUCCAGCCCUGCCGCGUGAGUGAUGAAGGCCUUAGGGUUGUAAG
rnacentral:rRNA from 1 species